GCGGAAUGCAGCAGCCGCGAGUGGUGCCG
rnacentral:SRP_RNA from 11 species